rnacentral:lncRNA from 1 species
AUGUUCUUACUAUUGCCCAUUCUUGUCACCAUCUUACUGUAUAUUUCCACUGUGAAGUGACAACUGGAUCGUUGGUGGGAACUAUUAGGUUAUCUUACAGGUGGGUGUAGGAUGAACAGUUUAGAUGGCCAAAAUGGAUGACUGCUUUAGCCUUUAGCUGUUGGAUGCAUUCGCCACCAAUUAUUCAAGUGUCAACCAACCCAGAUGAAUUGGGGACUUGUACCUGCGUGCUUAUCUGAGUGGGUAUAAGUAGACUGCUGUUGUUAGCUAGCAAUGCCUUUCCGAACAAACAAUCCUCAUGUUGUAGGAGGUAAUCCGUUUUCUUUUGGUGCAAACAAGAGAAAUGGCAACAUCCCAUGAUUUGUUUAUUAACUGCUGGUUGCUCUGGAUCACGUUGAUAAAUCAUAUGAGGGUAGAGUAUGCUGUAGGCUCAAUGGUUUUCUGAAGGAGAUUGUUCUAGCAAUAUGGUGUAAGACAGUAAGACUUUGUUCCUGGUGGGUACUGGGUAAGACUGUUGAUGCUGGUUUCAGAUCAAGUCGCUGAGCAAUGAUGUCUAUGCUUUUGUUUGCGUUAUGAACUCCUUGCUUGGCAUGAAGCACUUCGUAUCUUAAACACUCAGAAAGACUUAAGAUUCAAGCGAACUGAAUAUUUUCAUUAUUAAAUCUCCUUCUGUGGUGUCGCAAAAUCAUAAACAGUAUCACUCAAGGGUUUUGUCUCAGAGGAAUAUGUUUUCUGCAACUUUUCUUUGCUUAGUAGGCUACUGGAAAUUUGGUUACAGCUGUUGUUCUCACAUUUUUUUAUGAUUCUUAGCGGAAGAGUUGAUCGUCAUUUUGUGCCAAUUGGCAAGAUUCUAAAGCCACUGCUGAACGAGUGUGUGACACCCGUGACCUGUUACUGGAGCUUGGCGUUGCUUCUGCGUGAUGAGGAGGAGCUCAAGCUAGUUUUCCAGGUAAAAAUUAUGUGUUAUGCAUCUAUCACUUAAUUGGUCCAACAAAAUUUCAGCAAUCCAAUAGAAAUUUACUCGCAGAAAUUUCGCCCACCUGUCAAAAUGUUGGUCCCUAUCUGGAGAGCUCUCUGUGCAUUCACAGACUCUGAAUGCACAAGCCGGCAUUCUGCAGUUUCUAAACCGAAUCGUUCAGAAGCGUGACUGUGCUGGCGAUCUGUUGUGAUUGCGACGUUCGGCAAAGCGGAUGCAGCUGAGCUUAGAUGCCAAACUGAGCUAGAGGUAGGUCUCACUAGUGUGAGGGGCACUAAUUGUUAGGAUGAACGCCUGCAGAUUUUCAGACGUGGGUGUACAGUGUACUGCACUUAACAGCUAUACGGCCGAUAGUUCUCAAAUAGUACAAAAUAUCGUCCAUGUUCUGAAUUGUUCCUUUGGCGACAAUGCAGGCCACCAUGGGAUCUACGCCAUCAACCUUUUGAUUUUGAAAUCUUGACCAGUGGUAUAGUUAAAAGUAUUUGGUUGUCUAUAUGAAAAUGAUUGCCGGAUUGUUUCUUAUUAUAAGCCAUGGUUUUGUUUCCUGAGACUUUUUCGUAAUAAUAUGUUUCUUUUUCUGAUUAGUUUUAUGGCAUUACUAGUCAAAAUCUUGCACUGAGGACAGCUAGAAGUCAAAUCUACAGUUGUGGACAGGGGAGUGCAGUAGUACUACCUUGCCAUUUCAAUGUGGACGCUGCUGUUCUUAUAUAUCGCUAGUAUGGAUCUAUCACUACUAUCAAAUCAAUCGAUGUAUGGGGAGAUGGAAAGGUUUGUUAAAGAAUCAUCUUUGUCUCCUACGUAUGCUACAUAAAUGAGAAGAGUAGCAUGGAAACGAAAUGAAAUGUGCACAGACAAGCAUGUGAGGAGAAGAGAGCCCCAUGCAUCGCAUAUGCAAAGAUCCCAAUGCAGUCAAACAAACACACCUCAUAUGGAGUAGGGAGUAUCAUGUGCGGUGACACCCCUAUUCCUAUGCUUGUUGGACUCAGCCAGGGCUUGUGUUUCGAAGACUUGUACACCUUUGGAAAUCAGAGCAAUUUAGAAAUUACUACUCCCUCCGUUCCGAAUUAUAAGAUGUUUUGAAUAUUUCAGUAUGAACUAUAUACAGACUGAAAUGAGUGGACAAACACACUAUAACGCAUGUCUAUACAUCUAAUUUAGAAGAAAAAAAUAGAACAUCUUAUAAUUCGAACGGAAGGAGUAAUUAGGUAGGAUAUAUUGUUCGUCUUUCUGGAGUAUAAUUUUGCUCGCAUGAAUUUGGAUACUAUAAAAUUUUGCUUGCAUGAACACCCCUGGACACAAAUUAAAGCAAAAUAAUUUCCAGAAAAAGCCUGUUAUUCCAGUACUUUCGCAAGGUCUACUACGUGUAGAAAAGAGGCAAACAAAAUUAAGUUACAUCCAAAGAAGCUCUCAGUCGUUAACGCUAGACUAGUACAACGGCCUCAACCAAAAUAUGGAACAUUCUCGUGCGUGAUGGAGCUGUAGUCCGUGGAGCUCGACGCCGUGGCAUACACCGUGGUUGACGACGACGCGGAAGGCACAGGCCCCGCCCCCGGCGCGGCCAGCCCCAGCGACCCAGCCGGCCGGUGGCCUCCGGCGGCGAGGAGCUGGGAGGCGUGCGAGGACGGGGGCACGUUGGGCACCGCGGACGCCGCGGCGGCAGGGCGGUACCUGUGCUUGAGGAUCUCGGCGCGGACGGCGGCGAGCUCGGCCUCGAGGGCGUGCACCUGCUGCUGCAGGGUGAGGAUGGCGCCCAUGCAGCCGUAGACGGGGUCGCGGAGCCGCAGGUUCGCCUCGUACACCAGGCUGUUGGCCGCGUCGCCGCGCUGGCUCUCGUGUACCUCCUGCAUGCACGCGCACCAAGCUACGCGUUAAGGAGUAUAUCCCUGGAGCACUUCAAUCGGUUCAACUUGUGUGGAUUUCAUUUUCAUACGGAUAGUUCAACUCAACUUGAUUUGGAAGGAUUUGAGCUAACUGAUGAAGUCACGCAUCUCUCUUUAAAUAGAAGUAAAACAGAAAUGAAACAAAAGAUGCACAAACAUUGUACACCAUUUGAGCUAACUUGAUUUGGGGAGACUUCGAUUUGGAUUUUGGAUUUUGGGAGGCAAACACCGUACACUAUUUAUACACUGUUGUUUAGAGAUAACUUUUAGCAUUUUUAUGAAACGAAAGAUGCACAGGCGAGACUCGAAAUUAUACACAAAUCUCUAGUGAUUAGUGAUUAUGCCCCAAACAUAAUGGAAAAGGAGAGGAGAUCCAAGGGAAUUUAGGGUUUUGGAUCUGCAAGAACAGUCACUGCUGCCUUGGCUUGUGAGUUGUGACAGUACCACAAAAGAAAUUCUCUUGUUAAUAAAGUUUUCUAGAAAUACCAUGUCAACUAAUGAAAUGCUGCGAGAUGUGAGGUAUUCACAAUAAUUAUGCUAUAUCUCAUAAACAUCGGCACAAAACCAGUUCAUUUCACGAGCUCAGAAGGGAUAGAAGUAAGCUAUGCUGAAAGUCAAAGGGCAAGCAAAAUGGAGGGAAAUAAGAUUAAAUUAGAUUACCAGAAGCAUCUUGGAGACGUUGCUGGCGCCGAAGACCUUGUGAACGGAGGCGAACUUGUGCGGCUCUAGCGGCGAGAAAAAAGGUGAGAAGGGGCACUCCUGCGCGCACCGCCGCCGGAGCAGCUUACACGCGGCACAUGGGGUCAUCGUGUUGAACGACGGUGUUGAUCCUGGUCCGACGCCUGCUGCAGGCAGGCUGCUACUCCUCCGUGCUGCCGCCAUCAUCCGGUCCGCCUCCGCCGCGGACUCACUCUUGAUCUUCUUCCCUACCUCAUGGUCUUGCUGCCAUUCACUGAAGAAGAAGAUGUAUAUAGCAUGAGAUCACCAAUUCACCAUGGCUAUAGCUAGGGUUCCAACUAAUUCCAUUGCCACACACACCGCCAUGCACCAUGGACACAACAAAGCUUGAGCAGAGGAUUCUAACUAGAGACGGUGCAUGAAUUUAGCUAUUCCUAAAUGAUUUUUUUAUGAUCUACCUUGGUAUUUCGGAAAGUAGUUUUGAGCUUUGAGCAUACCUUGCAGUGGACAUGAAGGCAAGGGAGAGAGCAGGGGGACAAGGGAUGGAAGUGAGGUGCUUUGGAAAAAGUGUCUUCUAGGUUGUGUGUGUCUGCCGUUUAGCUUAUGAGAGAGAGAGAAGAGAGAAGAGAGAGAGAGAGAGAGAUGUUGGGAAAAAAACGUUUGUUUUUUUAUACAAAAAUAAGUUUGCUGCUGUCAUAGAGAUUGUACUGCUAGAUGUAUGUAGGUAUUGCACCAUUUGGAAGGUAUCCUGGUGUAUGUUGACUUGUUGCAAUAGUUAAUAUGGCGGCUAAUUAAUAAGAGGUGUGUGCAUACGGAAUGACGGAAUCUUCUUAGUGUAAAAUAANNNNNNNNNNNNNNNNNNNNNNNNNNNNNNNNNNNNNNNNNNNNNNNNNNNNNNNNNNNNNNNNNNNNNNNNNNNNNNNNNNNNNNNNNNNNNNNNNNNNNNNNNNNNNNNNNNNNNNNNNNNNNNNNNNNNNNNNNNNNNNNNNNNNNNNNNNNNNNNNNNNNNNNNNNNNNNNNNNNNNNNNNNNNNNNNNNNNNNNNNNNNNNNNNNNNNNNNNNNNNNNNNNNNNNNNNNNNNNNNNNNNNNNNNNNNNNNNNNNNNNNNNNNNNNNNNNNNNNNNNNNNNNNNNNNNNNNNNNNNNNNNNNNNNNNNNNNNNNNNNNNNNNNNNNNNNNNNNNNNNNNNNNNNNNNNNNNNNNNNNNNNNNNNNNNNNNNNNNNNNNNNNGGAACUGGGUAUGAGUUUUGAAAAAUGGAUUUUAUAUUGGACACAAUGGGCGCAUAUUAAGUGAAUUUGGUACUAACAAACUUGCAUUACAUAGCUAUUUUUGUGAAUAUUGCAUAGUUAAUUAGCAUCCACUAACUUAAUUAUGCAUCACAAAUUCUCUUUGAGUAAUCCAUUAGUUAUUUGUGGUAAUGUAAUAGUAUGGACUUUGUUGGAAUAUCAUCCAUAUGCUUGGCUACAAACUACUCCCUCCGUCCCAUAAUAUAAGAUGUCAUUAGAGCCGAUAUGUGCAUAUCGGUUGUAAUAACAUCUUAUGUUAUGGGAGGGACGAGUAUAUGUUUGUUCAUAUCUACCCGUUUUUGGAGUAUCUAUAUGGAGCUAUUGGUUUGAAAAAUGCCCAAGAGCUAUUUGCUGCUUGGUCGGUUAGGUACAUAUAUAGUUAAAAAUGCUGGUAGCUAGAUACAACAUUUUAUAAUGUAGAAGCUGUUAAUGUUCCAAGGAACAAGGCCCUAAAUACUCUCCCCAACAUUAGGCACAUUUGUAGGGUCGAAGCGACACCUUGUUGAUUCUCACUGUUUUUAACUCUAAAUCUACAUGUUUUUUUCUUUGCCCACUUGGCAUUAGCUGUAGAAGGCAUAUUGGCAUGCUUCUGGACAUCUAAGAUCCCAUCUAGAAGAAAAAUACUUUACAUCUCCCCAUCAGAGUUGAUUUUAGAUAAAACAAUAUAGCAUAUCAGUAUGUACUUGUCUAUAAACAUUGGUACUAACUUGACAUUAUUAUUUCCAAUGUUGUUCACUAAAAAACCUGCAAAAAAAAUGUUGUUCACUAAAAUAAACAAAGGGGUAUCAGAAUCACAUUGUUUACAAGGGGUCAUAAUGUGUCACCCUUCAGCAAUAAGUUGAUUAGUUUUUCUAGAACAAAAAUAAAACUGUCUCAGAACUAGUACUAAAUCUGCCACCUGAAAAAAAAUGUUUAUGAACAUACUUAAAAAAAGUUUAUGGAUCAUGACUAGUAGUCGCCUAGGAUCAAUGAUUCAUACCAUCUAUAUCAGUGCAUUAAUUAGUGUGUAUUACUAUAAUCAAGUAAUUAUAUGGCUCUCUAUAGUCAAUUUUUUGGGGGGCAAAUGAAACCUCUUUGGAUUGGACGAAUUUUCAUAGGAUUCCGGUCUUCAUGAUUUCCUUACCAUGUGCCCUUUGGAUGGAUACUCAAAUUCAAUGGCGGAGCCAGAAACUGAAUAUAGAGGGGGCCAAACAUGUCAUAUAAUGUUAGAGGGGGCCAAGUCACCUAAAUCUAGCUAAUUUUGACUGACAAAUGGAGAAUUAGGAGCACAUAUAGUUGUAUUUGUGAGAGCAUAGGGGGUGCCAAAGCCCCUGCCAGCACCCCCUGCCUCCGCCACUGCCCAAAUUCCUAUGGACUACCUUUCUCCAAAGCCCCCUCCAUAAGACAUCCAUUAUCCAAUCCAGUUUCUUCUUUACACUCAUUUUCUUAAGAUGGACGGUUUUUCCCCUUGUUCCAUCCAAACAUCUAUUUCUAUAGUUCUCAUGCUCCUUUUGCAAUCCUCUGGUUACUACGGCCAAAAGACACCUAGCAUCGACUUAAUCUGAAACUUACAAGUAUGUAAGUAGACUACAUAUUUAGAAAACCUCUCACAGUAUCAUAGUUUGUUUUUGGCUUACAACUCAUAAUGUUAUAAUCCUAUUAAAAGAAACAACAAGAGCAGUAAAAAUAUUGUUUUUCUCCCAAUAACAAGACAAUUAUGUACUUAUAUAUUUAUUCACAUGUUGAUUGCUUUGUAUGAUCCGUCGUCGAGCUCACCAUGUGACAUAUGAUAUCCUCGUCUCACAAUGUUCUAAGUAUGUUCGAUGAUUUGCUGCGUGCCAUUUGCACAAAAUGAAGAUCACACGUAGGUAAUUAUAGCCAUGCAAAAAUACCAUUGGUAUUAAUUGAAUAACUAAGAGAAAAUUUUCUUCUCCAUUGCAGUAUAAAUUUAUGCUUACAUUAUUGGCUCCAUACUUUAUAUCCAUUUCAAUAGGGAAGGAUUGAGUUGCUGGUACGGCAUAUACGCAACCGGGCAGCUGAUCAGAGAGGUUUUCACGCGUCAUAGAUGGAUGUUUAGGAUUUGGAUCAAUGCUUCUCCAACUUAAAGUUUUCCACGUCCUUGGUACUUCUUAUGUUGUUAGUUUGAGAACUUCAUGUUAUUUUGUUGUGUGCAUCUACUAAGCGGAGGUUGCAUUCUAAACCCGGUUAUGGUUGUAUUGGCUUGAUGCGAUGAUAAUAUUAGCACAAACUUCCUUUUAUCAUGAGAUUAUCUUAUGAUGGUGUGAGAGGAUCAAGACAAGUGAAAUACUAACAUGUGUACCAAACAUGGAUCAACUCUAUCCAUUGCGUCAAGAUUAUUAAAUCCUAACCAAAAAAAUAGAAACCAAGUGUCCAUAGGCAGUUAAAGCCCAUAUUACUUCAAACAUGUCAUGUUCGUGUUUGUGUCCCCCCCCCCCAGUCCCCUUUCGGAUUUCCACCGGAUGAGGUUCUCAGUAAUCCGUUUCAAAUUCCUAGACGUUCAAGCAGAUUGCCUUGGGACAAUCACAAGUUGUAUGAUCGGACAAUGUGCUCAUUUUCAUCCUAUGCGUUGGGAAGAGGCCAAUCUAAUAAUUUGUUUCUGCCCAUCCUCUGCUAUUUUCCCCUUCAACCUCCAUUGGAGGCCCGCUCAGUAGUUCUAAGGUGGGUAGGUUGUGCAACAAGAUCAAUGGCAAUACUAGCUUCUCCCUUUGGAAAUAUCUGUCCGAGACAUAGGCCUUGGCCAGUAGACACAUGUUCAUCAUCUUCAUCCUCGAUGCCGACAAUUUGGGAUGGCCAACCUUGGCUACUAGAGAUUGGUGGAAGCCCUCAUCUUAGGCUUUGACAGCUGCUUCAUGCAUCCCGAGAGAUAGUCCGUCUACUAGUGCCUUCGCCAAGUCGACGACAAUCAUUACCGAAAUCCUUGGUCGACUAUGUUGGUCACUGGUGGAAGCAUUAUCUGUGGUUUGUGCUGCCGUGGCAACUUAUUGUGCUUUAGCCGACACAUGGAGGCAUGUGCUCCCACGUGCAUCUCUAGGGUCAGGUUGUAAUUUUCUAUACUUCGUGGCCCUUGGUGUAAUACAAGUUGUACGGUGUUUUUUUGAAGAAAGGACACCUAAAGGGCAUAUUAGAUCUCAUAAUUAUCAAGGAAAUUGUAUCCAGUAUAAUGGAAAUACAAUUGGACGUCAAACGACUAGUAAAAUAAAAUAACAAUAAAAAUCAUAAUAGCAUUCUUUUUCCUUCGGUUAUACAUCACCUGCCGGAGAUCAAAAAAUGCACUUAACCAACAAGAAAGGAAAAGGACACCUGCAAGCGUCCUCGCUAUACCAAGUUUUAAAUUUCGCAAUAGUCAUCUCGAAAUCAUCGGAGAAACACCGGUUGGAGCAUCACUCGCACCCAACAUUGACUUUUAGUCCAUCACCGCCAAUCUAGAGAGUUGGAGAAACCAAACCAUGCCACAAAACAACAUAGAAGAAUAUGUUGAGGUCGCCUUACCAAUAGCCAGCCUAUUGCCCUCCUUGAUGACACACCAACUGCAAAGAUCCGAAGAGAGCCAACAUACCUGGAGACACAAACUCUCACAUGCCCUUCUUCAACACUGGAUUUGACAUCGUCGAGGUAGGAAGAGGCUAUUCUAGCACACCAUCGCCGUCACCACCACGUCGAUGCCGCCAUGGAAAUAAAAAUUCAUAAAAAAGAAAAACCAAACUAGAGAAUCCCCACUUGUGCCGCCGAAGUGAUCAAUAAAUGGAGGAGAGGAGGGGGACCGAAAGGGUGUCAUGGAGAAGACCUUUGGCGGAGGCGGCUAGGGUUGGGAACAAAAGGGCAUGUGUCUAUCACUUGACGCAGUUCUUACAGUGUGGUUAUUUGCAAAAGAAAAGUGUCGUUAGGGGAUGUGGAGUAUCUACCCACGAGCUUAUAUGCUCCUGGAUGAGCAGUAAAUUCAAAAUUUGUAAAAAUAAUAAUAAUUAUGGCAACGUUAAGGAAUGUUUAUGGUUGUUGUAAAGUUUCAUCAUGAAAUCAGAUUCAUGAAAGUCGCGGCCAAAUUUUUUUUACUCUGAAAAUGUAAUUUCGAAUGCAUUUUGAAGCUCUGGGUUUAUUUUUACUUUGCACGACUUUCACGAAUGUGAUUUCAUGAUAAAACUUUGCAACCACUUCAAACAUUCCUUAAUGUUUGCCAAUUUUUUUUUAGAAAUGUUUGAUUUUUUCUACUUUUUAUUUUACUGUUUGUAACAAGAGAACUUGAGCUCGGUCGAUAAGCCCUUCCCAGUUGCAUGACCCAAAGAUGACCGGCGGCCGUCGGCACAGAGAAGGACACCUACACACAGUGGUUAGUGUCCGUACGCUACGCACCGUGUGUUUCCUAGCUUGUGACAGAGCUGGCUCGAUCAUUAGUUAAUCACAUGCUACAUGGGGCUAGAGUGCAUGCGUGCAAGUGCGUGGCUUGCAAGGAGGAGAUGCGUUGCACGCCGAUCGAUCCUGCUCGCACUAAUUGUUUGACCCGCACAUCGUGCCUAGGACGUCGCUGCGCUGUUCUUUGACCGUGCAUGUGUAUGUGCACUUGUCCAACCUACACCAUACCAGCCACUUGAUUUUGACUGCAAUGCAAUACAUGCAUUUCCCCUGGCGUUAGACUAACCGCGCCUCGGUUCCCGUGACCUCAGUUUAUAUUCUACUCCUACGUGCAUGUUCGGUAGUACUCCCUCCGUUCCCAAAUACUCCCUCCGUCCCAUAAUAUAAUAACGUUUUUUACAAUUUGUCUUUUUAGAGAUUUCAACAAGUAACUACGUACGAAGCUUGAGUGAAUCUAGACUCUAAAAUAUGUCUACAUACAUCCGUAUGUUGUAGUCCAUUUGAAAUGUCUAGAAAGAUAAAUAUUUCGGAACGGAGGGAGUACAUUAUAUAUUCACAUUAGGAUUCCAGUUAUCUUUGGGUUACUGUUUGUAAUGAACAGUGGAACGAGUGAUGCCGCUUGGUGGCAGUUUUCCUUAUUUUCAGCCGGGCAUAAGGAGAGAUUUACCACAUCAACCAAUUAUGCUGGUUUAUUGCUCAAAAAUCACAGAAACGGGGAUAAAAAUGGAUCAUGGGCUGGACCAACCAGACGUGUGGCACCUGACCAAGACAAUGUCACAUGCUAGUUCGGGCGCUGAUAUGUCUCGCUUCAUGCUAGCUCGGGCGCUCAAUUUGCGAGAUGAAGCGAGCGCUCGCCAAGCAGCGCCCAUAAUGGCCCGUCUCAGCGGGGACGCGGGCAUUCAGUGUUUUCUUUUUCUUUCACUUUCUCUGCCUUGUUUUUGCUUUUUAUUACUCCCUCUCUAAAUUAAUAUAAGAGUGUUUAGAUCACUAAAGUAGUGAUCUAAACACUUUUAUAUUAGUUUUCGGAGGGAGUACUAUUUUCUUUAUAUCUCAUAAUAUUUUAGUUAUAUCUACAAUAAAAAUCACUUUACAUAUAGAAUUGGAAAAUGUUAAAUGCGCAUUCAAAAAAAAUGUUAACGUGUAUAAAGAAAAUAUUUAUCACGUAUNNNNNNNNNNNNNNNNNNNNNNNNNNNNNNNNNNNNNNNNNNNNNNNNNNNNNNNNNNNNNNNNNNNNNNNNNNNNNNNNNNNNNNNNNNNNNNNNNNNNNNNNNNNNNNNNNNNNNNNNNNNNNNNNNNNNNNNNNNNNNNNNNNNNNNNNNNNNNNNNNNNNNNNNNNNNNNNNNNNNNNNNNNNNNNNNNNNNNNNNNNNNNNNNNNNNNNNNNNNNNNNNNNNNNNNNNNNNNNNNNNNNNNNNNNNNNNNNNNNNNNNNNNNNNNNNNNNNNNNNNNNNNNNNNNNNNNNNNNNNNNNNNNNNNNNNNNNNNNNNNNNNNNNNNNNNNNNNNNNNNNNNNNNNNNNNNNNNNNNNNNNNNNNNNNNNNNNNNNNNNNNNNNNNNNNNNNNNNNNNNNNNNNNNNNNNNNNNNNNNNNNNNNNNNNNNNNNNNNNNNNNNNNNNNNNNNNNNNNNNNNNNNNNNNNNNNNNNNNNNNNNNNNNNNNNNNNNNNNNNUAGAAAAAAUGUUGACCAUAUAUUAAAAAAUGAUUACCAUGUAUUUCAAAAAUGUUGACCAUGUAUCGAAAAAAGUGUUCAAAACAUGUAUUUAAGAUCAUGUAUUUGUAAAAUGUUCAAUGUAUAUCAAAAAAUGUUUCAUGUGUACACUAAGAAUGUAUAUUCGGUAACAAAAAUGUAUUUUGAAAAAUGAAUAAAACAUAAAGAAAUAAAUAAAACAAAAAAAGUAACAAAGAAACCCAAGUAAAACAAAAAUAGAAAAGAAAAAAGAAAUAAGUCGUUCAAAAAAUGAAAACCAAAAUAUAAUGAAGGAAACCAAUUAAAGAAACAAAGAAAAUCAUAGUAUGUCAAAGGAAAAGAAAAUGCAAAAGAAAAAACCGAAGCGAAGAACCAGCGAACAAAACACUAGCGAACGAACGAAUGGGCCUGCCCAAUACUGUAGCAAGCUUGGGGGAUCCUUCGGCGGGAGCUCCUUCCAUGUCGCUUAAUGCGAGACAUAGCUCUCGCUUGCUAGCUCCGUGUUGCGGUUUGGACCUGAAAAAAUGGAAGUAAUGCUAACAGGAUUUACGAGUUAUGAGUCAUGGGUCGGAAGUAUUCAUUCGGUCAGAAGAACACAGAUCCGUCGUCAUGCCGCUCUUCCAUACUUUCCUUUUGUGUUUGCUGAAUUAUGCUUGUUUUUUUAGGAUGAACAGUAGGUAUCUAUGCUGCUUAUUUUAUAAUUUUUCAACAAGUAUGUAUAAAGAGCCAACGGGAAGAGCAUCUCCAAGGGCAAAUGCCAUAUUUAUGCCUCCAAAUAUUUGUGGAAAUGUCCGGAUAUGUACAUGGACAACAAAGGAUUAAGCCUCAUUUAUGGUCCCCUUGAAAUAUUUCUAUCAGUUUUUUAGCUGGUUUCCCUUUCUUUGUUCUUCAUUUUCUUUUAUUUUCUUGUAUUUUACUUUUGUUACACGAACAUUUAUUAAUUUCGCAAAUAAUUUUCAAAUACAUGAACAGUUGUUAAUCAUUCUUGAAUACUUUUAAAGUCCACAAACUUCUUCAAAUUCAUGAAUAGUUUUUAAUAUCUGGAAAAUUAUAAUAUUUAUUAAAAUUUGAAAUGAUCAUUUUUCUGAAUAUAUACAUUUUUAUUCUGCUAUAUUUUUCAAUACUUAUUCUGAAUUGGAUUUAGAAACCCGUCUGAAAUGACAAAAACCGACGAACUAACAUUAUACGGAUCAUCCUAUUCUGGGCCCCACGCAUGGAAGAGCAACCAACUGUGUGGUUCCUUGUAGUGGGCUGCCUCGUUUAUCCGUUUUUGACAUUUUUUUUUCUUGGAUGGGACACUAGGACUGGGCUGACCGAUUCUUGAGUUAGUUACUCCCCCAAACCGGCUGUUGCAUGAUUUAGACUAAACAAGGCUAUUGCAUGAAUUUUUUAAAAUAUAAAGAAAUUCUAAAAGAUAUUUGCAGAUAUAAAAAAUAUUCCAAUAUUUCUAAAAAUGUUCUCAAAAUUGAAACAAAAUCUAGAAUUUUUAUAAAAUACGAAUUUAAAAGGUUAUGAAAUCUGGUUGAAUAAACAAAAUGUACAUGUAUUUUAAGAAAUAUUUCGCAAAAUUUAAAGUUUUUCACAAAGUUAAAAAUGUGCAUGAAAAUGUUCGCACAUUAAGUAUACGAUUUGAAUUUAUUUUUGAGAUUUUAUAAAAUGUACACAAGUUUUUAAGAAUUAUUAAGUUUUGAAAAACAUUCGGGACUUAAAACUAUUCACGGAUUAGAAAUUUUAAAAAUAAAAAGGAAAUAAAGAAGAAAAAAGCAAAAGCAAAAUGCACUGGGCGCGACAAAGUGCAGCAGUAUACGGGGAAUAGGAAGUCACACAAAAACGAACCAACAAAACUGAGAAAGGGCCAAGAGGGCACAUGAUCCGUGGGAAAGUAUCUAGUGCACCCAGGCUUGGGGUGCUCCCGGUGCUCCAAAUGUCCGAAAGACAUUUUUAAAAUGUUCAAAAAAUUCUGAAAAAAAUGCAGCACAUCGACGGAACAUCGAUGUCUCUUGUCACAAAAAUUCAAAUCAAAAUUCGAAACAUUGCUCGAGAUACAAAAAUGAAAAAUUUAGCUGUUGUACUUGCGCGCAUUUUUCAGAUUCUAUGUGGGCUUUCUUGCAAAAAUGUUCACCAUCUCACAGGAGCUGUUGGAUUUGAGAUCCAACGGCUGAGGUCGCACGGGAGCACCUAAGCUUAGGUGCUCCCGGAGCACCAGAUAUUUUCCCCAUGAUCCGUAUGCAUUUGUAUAUGAUAUCGUUUCCUGGGAGAUGAGGGGUCGUCGGCCGUGGAUGGACGUUAGAAAGCUCGACGAAGCAACAGUUAACAAGCAUGUGGUGGUCUUCAGCUGUGUGCCUGGAUCCGACUGGUGAGCAAGACAACUGCCAUUGUGGGGGUGCAUGAUGAAUCCAGAAUGGCGUGGUGCAUAAUCGAAGCCAAUGCCGAUGAGGGGGUCAGCACCCGAACAGUGCGCUACGCCUCCACCAAGCGCCCAGGGACACUCAUAGACAUCGGUGGCGUCAUCUCCCUCCCCGAUAUCCGAAAGCAUCUCUUUUACACUACCACCCAACAUGUGGCGAUUCGGAUGCAGAAGCUGUAUGCCAUCGGAACGCAGCCUGAUGGCAGUCCUUUCGAGGUGGCAUCAUGAAAUUCUUCCAUCAACAUCACCUCCUCGAGCCCUUCAAUCAUGCAGGGGGGGAUCCGGUGACAUGGUAGAAGUCUUGAGGCGGCAUCGCAGGAAUCUUCCAUCAACGUUACUUCCUCAAGCCCUUCAAUCACACGAGAGGAGAAUUUUGUUGGGAAACAUUGCAUGGAAAACAAAAAAAAAAUUACGCGCACGCAAGAUCUCUCCAUGGAGAUGCAUAGCAACAACAGGGGAGAGUGUGUCUACGUACCCCCGUAGACCGUAAGCGGAAGCGUUUGACAACGCGGAUGAUGUAGUCGAACUUCUUCGCGUUCCAACCGAUCCAGCACCAAACGUACGGCACCUCCGCGUUCAGCACACGUUCAGAUGACGUCCUUCGCCUUCUCGAUCCAGCAAGACGGCGAGGUAGUGGAUGUGUUUCGGCAACACGCCGGUGUGGUGAUGGUGAUGGUGAAGCUAUCUCCACAGGGCUUCGCCUAAGCACUACGAAAACAUGACUGGGGUGUAAACGGUGGAGGGGGGCGCCGCACACGGCUAAGACAAUGUUGCGUUGUGCUAGGCGCCCCCUCCCGUCCCACAUAUAUAUAGGUGGGUGGGCGAGGGAGCAGCGAGGAGGGCGCCCCAAGUAGGCCGAAUCCUACUUGGGGUCCUCCCUAAGUGGCGCCCCCCUUUCCUUAUUUGUCGGGGAGGGAAAGGAAAGGGGGAGAGGGAAGGAAGGGGAGGCCAAAUCCUCCCCCUUUCCUUUCCCCACUUGGGCGGCUGCCAUAGGGGGUGAGCCAGCCCCUUGUGGGCUGGUGUGCUCCCCUCUAAUGGCCCAAUAGGCCCACUAACCUCCAGGGGGUGUCCGGUACCCCCUCGGGUACUCCGAUGUCUACACGGUACACUCCAAAACACUUUCGGUGUCCGAAUACCAUCUUCAUAUAUAUCAGUCUUUACCUCUCGACCACUUUGAGACUCCUCCUCAUGUCCGUGAUCUCAUCCGGGACUCCGAACAACAUUCGUUCACCUAAUCAUAUAACUCAUGUAACACUAUAUCAUCAACAAACGUUAAGCAUGCGGACCCUACGGGUUCGAGAACUAUGUAGACAUGACCGAGACACCUCUCCGGUCAAUAAUCAAUAGCGGAACCUGGAUGCCCAUAUUGGCUCCUAGAUAUUCUACGAAGAUCUUUAUCGGUCAAACCGUUAUGACAACAUACGUAAUUCCCUUUGUCCAUCGAUAUGUUACUUGCCCGAGAUUCGAUCAUCGGUAUCUUCAUACCUAGUUCAAUCUCGUUACCGGCAAGUCUCUUUACUCGUCCUGUAAUACUUCAUCUUGCAACUAACUCAUUAGUCACUUUGCUUGCAAGGCUUCUUAUGAUGUGUAUUACCGAGAGGGCCCAGAGAUACCUCUCUGAUACUUGGAGUGACAAAUCCUAAUCUCGAUCUAUGCCAACUCAACAAACACCUUCGGAGAUACCUGUAGAGCAUCUUUAUGAUCACCCAAUUACGUUGUGACGUUUGAUAGCACACAAGGUAUUCCUCCGGUAUCCGGGAGUUGCAUAAUCUCAUAGUCGAAGGAAUAUGUAUUUAACAUGAAGGAAGCAAUAGCAAUAAACUGAACGAUCAAUAUGCUAAGCUAACAGAUGGGUCUUGUCCAUCACAUCAUUCCCCUAAUGAUGUGAUCCCGUUAUCAAAUGACAAACAUGUCCAUGGUUAGGAAACCUUAACCAUCUUUGAUCAACGAGCUAGUCUAGUAGAGGCUUACUAGGGACACGGUAUUUGUUUAUGUAUUCACACAUGUAUUUAAGUUUCCGAUCAACACAAUUUUAGCAUGAAUAAUAAACCUUUAUCAUGAAUAAGGAAAUAUAAAAUAACAACUUUAUUAUUGCCUCUAGGGCAUAUUUCCUUCAAAUUUGGUGGGACAUCUAUUUUGCGCCACCACCCAACAUGGGAGAUUCGGGUGAGAAAGCAGACCAUAAUAACCUUCAUCACCACUAGCGUCACCAAGAAGCACAUGAGGAGCAGGGAAGGGCAAAGAGGGAACAUGAUCUGUACGCUUCCGUUUAUGGCAUCACUCCCUGGGAGAUGAGGGGCUGUCGACCAUGGAUGGACGUUAGAAAGCUUGACGAAGAAACAGUCGGCAAGAAUGUGGUGGUCUUUGAUCUGUGCGGUGGAUUUGGUCGCUGAGAAAGACUAUUGCCAUUGUCGGGCUGCACGAUGAAUGGUGUCGUGUAUAACCGAAGCCAGUGCCAAAGACGGGGGUCACCACCCGGAUGGUAUUCUUCGCCUCUAGCAUGCGCCUAGGGACCCUAAUAGAUGUAGAGGUUGACGUCUCCCUCCCCCAGAGUUGGAAGCAUCUAUUUGACACCACCACCCAACAGGUGGCGAUUCAGGUGAGAAAGCUAUAUGCCAUCGAAAGGCAGUCAUAUGGCAGUCCUUUUGACGCAGCAUCACGGAGUUAUUCCAUCAACAUCACCUCCUCGAGCCCUUCAAUCAUGCGGAAGGGGAAUCCGGUCAGACGAGAGAGGGAUCUUUUGAGCUGGGGGAUGGACAAGUAGGUCCAUUCCAUAUUUUAGCUACCUUCUUAGAUAAGAAACUUAUAUAGACCUGAGUAAUAAAGAGACGAGGCUCUUAUACCAAUUGAAAGGGCCAGUUUGGUCGACUAGAGGGGGGUGAAUAGGCGACUAACAAUUUUUUAUUCUCUUUAUAACAAAUUAAGGGUUGACAUGAAAAUAGUUUGUCUAGAUAUGCAACUAGGUGGACAACCUAUAUGACAAGCACAACAGCAAGCAAACAAGCAAGCAUAAGGUAAACACAAUAUAAGCUUGCAGAAAGUAAAGAUUAGAAUUAAUAUCGAGUGGUGUCGAUGAAGGCGGUGAUGUGUUACCGAAGUUUCCUCCCUUUAGAGGGAGGUACGUCUCAGUUGGAGCUGCGUGGAGGCACAAUGCUCCCCAAGAAAGUCACUAGGGCCACCGUAUUAUCCUCACACCCUCGCACAANNNNNNNNNNNNNNNNNNNNNNNNNNNNNNNNNNNNNNNNNNNNNNNNNNNNNNNNNNNNNNNNNNNNNNNNNNNNNNNNNNNNNNNNNNNNNNNNNNNNNNNNNNNNNNNNNNNNNNNNNNNNNNNNNNNUUGAAACUUAGGCAGAUUUUGGCACAAGUUAAGAUAACACCAAGACUUUCUACACAUGCAUAUCUAGGGAUAGAGCAGCGAAAAAUAGUAAAUCAUGCAAUUAUACGGAAAGUCUCUACAAAAAAAGACACAUCCGUGACAUUUUGGGCCGAACGAAUUUUUUUUCUGUCAUGCUUAUGACACUUCUAUGACGAUAAUUGUGACAAAACCCGGUAUCAUCAUAGAUGUGGUGGGCUCCUACUUCUAUGACAAAAAAUCAUAACAGAAAAUGGGAUUUUCAUCUUGGGCGGGCCGGAGACGCAGCUGCAUGACAUUCUUUGGGCCGUCCAUGAUGGAAAAAAUCAUGGUAGAAGCGAGGGCGAGAAAAAUAUCGGGGAGUUCCCGGUUACGGUGGGUGGUCGGGGGCAGAGCGAUGCGCGUUUCUCUCGCACACGUACGCGCGUGGGAGCGAAGUGUUGGGCUCUAACUGAACCCGAGCAAGGCGUUCGCCUACUGAAUCCGAGCGAUUGCACUGCAGGCUAUGCAUUACUGAACCCGAGCGAUCGUUCAAUCUGGCUGUUAACUGAACUCGAUCGAGAGGUUCCUUUGCUACUGCUGCUAUUUGAAGCCGAUCGAACUUGCUGCCUCCUUCCCUUGAUGAACAGUGAGCGUUGUUGGGGGGGGGGGUUGGAUGAACAGUUCCCGGUGGGGGGUUGGAUGAACAGGACCCCGUGGUAGUAGAGGCCGUUGCCGCUGGAUGAACAGGAUGUUGGAAAUAUGCCCUAGAGGCAAUAAUAAAUAGGUUAUUAUUAUAUUUCCUUGUUCAUGAUAAUCGUUUAUUAUCCAUGCUAGAAUUGUAUUGAUAGGAAACUCAGAUACAUGUGUGGAUACAUAGACAACACCAUGUCCCUAGUAAGCCUCUAGUUGACUAGCUCGUUGAUCAAUUGAUGGUUACGGUUUCCUGACCAUGGACAUUGGAUGUCGUUGAUAACGGGAUCACAUCAUUAGGAGAAUGAUGUGAUGGACAAGACCCAAUCCUAAGCCUAGCACAAGAUCGUGUAGUUCGUUUGCUCAGAGCUUUUCUAAUGUCAAGUAUCAUUUCCUUAGACCAUGAGAUUGUGCAACUCCCGGAUACCGUAGGAAUGCUUUGGGUGUGCCAAACGUCACAACGUAACUGGGUGGCUAUAAAGGUGCACUACGGGUAUCUCCGAAAGUGUCUGUUGGGUUGGCACGAAUCGAGACUGGGAUUUGUCACUCCGUGUAAACGGAGAGGUAUCUCUGGGCCCACUCGGUAGGACAUCAUCAUAAUGUGCACAAUGUGACCAAGGAGUUGAUCACGGGAUGAUGUGAGUUACGGAACGAGUAAAGAGACUUGCCGGUAACGAGAUUGAACAAGGUAUAGGGAUACCGACGAUCGAAUCUCGGGCAAGUAACAUACCGUUAGACAAAGGGAAUUGCAUACGGGAUUGAUUGAAUCCCCAACAUCGUGGUUCAUCCGAUGAGAUCAUCGUGGAACAUGUGGGAGCCAACAUGGGUAUCUAGAUCCCGCUGUUGGUUAUUGACCGGAGAACGUCUCGGUCAUGUCUGCAUGGUUCCCGAACCCGUAGGGUCUACACGCUUAAGGUUCGAUGACGCUAGGGUUAUAGGGAAAGCAUGUACGUGGUUACCGAAUGUUGUUCGGAGUCCCGGAUGAGAUCCCGGACGUCACGAGGAGUUCCGGAAUGGUCCGGAGGUAAAGAUUUAUAUAUGGGAAGUCCUGUUUUGGUCACCGAAAAAGUUUCGGGUGAAAUCGGUAAUGUACCGGGACCACCGGGAGGGUCCCGGGGGUCCACCAAGUGGGGCCACCAGCCCCAGAAGGCUGCGUGGGCCAAGUGUGGGAGGGGACCAGCCCCAGGUGGGCUGGUGCGCCCCCCCACCAAGGCCCAAGGCGCAUGGGAGAGUGGGAGGGGGCAAACCCUAGGUCCAGAUGGGCCUUAGGGCCCAUCUAGUGGGUCGCCCCCCCUCUCCUCCCCUUGGCCGCCCCCUUGAUGGGAUCUAGGGCUGGCCGCCUCCUCUUGGGGGUGGAAACCCUAAAGGGAGCGCAGCCCCCUCCCCCCUAUAUAUAGUUGAGGUUUGGGCUGCCCAAGACACACGAGAACGUCUCUCUUUCGGUGCAGCCCUACCCCUCUCCCUCCUCCUCCUCUCCCGCGGUGCUUGGCGAAGCCCUGCGGGAUUGCCACGCUCCUCCACCACCACCACGCCGUCGUGCUGCUGCUGGAUGGAGUCUUCCCCAACCUCUCCCUCUCUCCUUGCUGGAUCAAGGCGUGGGAGACGUCACCGGGCUGCACGUGUGUUGAACGUGGAGGCACCGUUCUUCGGUGCUUAGAUCGGAAUCAACCGCGAUCUGAAUCGCUACGAGUACGACUCCCUCAUCCGCGUUCUUGCAACGCUUCCGCAUCGCGAUCUACAAUGGUAUGUAGAUGCACUCUCCUUCCCCUCGUUGCUAGAUUACUCCAUAGAUUGAUCUUGGUGAUGCGUAGAAAAUUUUGAAUUUCUGCUACAUAACCCAACAGUGGCAUCAUGAGCUAGGUCUAUGCGUAGUUUCUAUGCACGAGUAGAACACAAAGUAGUUGUGGGCGUCGAUGUUGUCAAUUCUUCUUGCCGCUACUAGUCUUAUCUUGUUUCGGCGGCAUUGUGGGAUGAAGCGGCCCGGACCGACCUUACACGUACACUUACGUGAGACAGGUUCCACCGACUGACAUGCACUAGUUGCAUAAGGUGGCUAGCGGGUGUCUGUCUCUCCCACUUUAGUCGGAACGAAUUCGAUGAAAAGGGUCCUUAUGAAGGGUAAAUAGAAAUUGGCAUAUCACGUUGUGGUUUUACGUAGGUAAGAAACGUUCUUGCUAGAAACCUAUACAAGCCACGUAAAAACUUGCAACAACAAUUAGAGGACGUCUAACUUGUUUUUGCAGCAUGUGCUAUAUGAUGUGAUAUGGCCAGAAGAUGUGAUAAAUGAUAUAUGUGAUGUAUGAGAUUGAUCAUAUUCUUGUAAUAGGAAUCACGACUUGCAUGUCGAUGAGUAUGACAACCGGCAGGAGCCAUAGGAGUUGUCUUUAUUUUUUGUAUGACCUGCGUGUCAUUGAAUAACGCCAUGUAAAUUACUUUACUUUGUUGCUAAGCGCGUUAGCCAUAGAAGUAGAAGUAAUCGUUGGCGUGACAACUUCAUGAAGACACAAUGAUGGAGAUCAUGGUGUCAUGCCGGUGACAAAGAUGAUCAUGGUGCCCCGAAGAUGGAGAUCAAAGGAGCAAAAUGAUAUUGGCCAUAUCAUGUCACUAUUUGAUUGCAUGUGAUGUUUAUCAUGUUAUGCAUCUUAUUUGCUUAGAACGACGGUAGUAAGUAAGAUGAUCCCUCACUAAAAUUUCAAGAGAUGUGUUCCCCCUAACUGUGCACCGUUGCGAAGGUUCGUUGUUUCGAAGCACCACGUGAUGAUCGGGUGUGAUAGAUUCUAACGUUCGAAUACAACGGGUGUUGACGAGCCUAGCAUGUACAGACAUGGCCUCGGAACACAAGCAAAAACACUUAGGUUGACUUGACGAGCCUAGCAUGUACAGACAUGGCCUCGGAACACAAGAGACCGAAAGGUCGAACAUGAGUCGUAUAGGAGAUACGAUCAACAUGGAGAUGUUCACCGAUGAUGACUAGACCGUCUCACGUGAUGAUCGGACAUGGCCUAGUUUGACUCGGAUCAUGAAUCACUUAGAUGACUAGAGGGAUGUUUAUCUGAGUGGGAGUUCAUUAAUCAGAUGAACUCAAUUAUCAUGAACAUAGUCAAAAGAUCUUUGCAAAUUAUGUCAUACGCUUUAGUUCUACUGUUUAAGAUAUGUUCCUAGAGAAAAUUUAGUUGAAAGUUGGUAGUAGCAAUUAUGCGGACUGGGUCCGUAAACUGAGGACUGUCCUCAUUGCUGCACAGAAGGCUUAUGUCCUUAAUGCACCGCUCGGUGUGCUGAACCUCAGCGCCGUCUGUAGAUGUUGCGGAACAUCUGACAUACACGUUUUGAUAACUACGUGAUAGUUCAGUGCAUAAUGCUAACGGUUUAGAAUUGUGGCACCAAAGACGGUUUUUGAAACGUCGCAGAACAUAUGAGAUGUUCUGAAGACUGAAAUUGGGAUUUCAGACUAGUGCCCGCGUCAAGAGGUAUGAGACCUCUGACAAGUUUCUUAAGCCUGAAGACUAAGGGAGAAAAGCUCAAUCGUUGAGCAUGUACUCAGAUUGUCUGAGUACUACAAUCGCUUGAAUCAAGUGGGAGUUAAUCUUCCAGAUGAGAUAGUGAUGAUUCUCCAUAAUCACUGCCACCAAGCUAUUAGAGCUUCGUGAUGAACUAUAAAUAUCAGGGAUAGUUAUGAUGAUCCUUGAGCUAUUCGCGAUGUUUGACACCGCGAGAGUAGAAAUCAAGAAGGAGCAUCAAUUGUUGAUGGUUUGUAAAACCACUAGUUUCUAGAAGGGCAAGGGCAAAAGGGAUACUUCAUGAAACAGCAAAUCGUUUGCUGCUCUAGUGAAGAAUCCCAAGGUUGAACCCAAACCCGAGACUAAGUGCUUCUGUAAUGAGGGGAACGGUCACUGAAGCAGUACUACCCUAGAUACUUGGUAGAUGAGAAGGCGGGCAAGGUCGACAGAAGUAUAUUGGAUAUACGUUAUAUGAAUGUGUACUUUACUAGUACUCCCAGCAGCACCAGGGUAUUAGAUACCGGUUCGGUUGCUAAGUGUUAGUAACUCGAAAUAAAAGCUGCGGAAUAAACGGAGACUAGCUAAAGGUGAGAUGACGAUAUGUGUUGGAAGUGUUUCCAAGGUUGAUGUGAUCAAGCAUCGCAUGCUCCCUCUACUAUCGAGAUUUGCUGUUUGCGUUGAGCAUGAUUGGAUUAUGUUUAUCGCAAUACGGUUAUUCAUUUAAGGAGAAUAAUGGUUACUCUGUUUAUUUGAAUAAUACCUUCAAUGGUCUUGCACCUAAAAUGAAUCUCGAUCGUAGUGAUACACAUGUUCAUGCCAAAAGAUAUAAAAUAGUAAUGAUAGUUCCACAUACUUGUGGCACUGCCAUUUGAGUCAUAUUGGUAUAGAACGCAUGAAGAAGCUCCAUGUAGAUGGAUCUUUGGACUCAGUCGUUUUUGAAAAGAUUGAGACAUGCGAACCAUGUCUAUUGGUAUAUAUGCAUGAAGAAACUCCAUGCAGAUGGAUCGUUUGGACUCACUUGAUUUUGAAUCACUUGAGACAUGCAAAUCAUACCACAUGGGCAAGAUGACUGAAAGUCCUCGUUUUCAAUAAGAUGGAACAAGAGAGCAACUUAUUGGAAGUAAUACAUUUUGAUGUAUGCAGUCCAAUGAGUGCUGAGGCAUGCAGUGGAUAUCGUUAUGUUCUUACUUCACAGAUGAUUUGAGUAGAUGCUGAGUGUAUUUACUUGAUGAAACACAAGUCUGAAUUAUUGAAAGGUUCAAGUAAUUUCAGAGUGAAGUUGAAGAUCGUUGUGACAAGAGGAUAAAAUGUCUGUGAUAUGAUCAUAGAGAUGAGUAUCUGAGUUACGAGUUUGGCACACAAUUAAGACAUUGUGGAAAGUGUUUCACAAUUAAUACUGCCUGGAACACCAUAGUGUGAUGGUGUGUCCGGACAUCAUAGCUGCACCCUAUUGGAUAUGGUGCAUACCAUGAUGUCUCUUAUCGAAUUACCACUAUCGUUUAUGGGUUAGGCAUUAGAGACAACCGGAUUCACUUUAAAAGGGGCACCACGCAAUUCCGUUGAGACGACACCGUUUAGAGAAACCUAAGUUGUCGUUUCUUAAAAGUUUGGGGCUGCGAUGCUUAUGUGAAAAAGUUUCAGGCUGAUAAGCUCGAACCCAAAGCGGAUAAAUGCAUCUUCAUAGAAAACCCAAAACAGUUGGGUAUACCUCCUAUUUCAGAUCUGGAAGCAAAAGUAAUUGCUUCUAGAAACGGGUCCUUUCUCGAGGAAAAGUUUCUCUCGAAAGAAUUGAGUGGGAGGAUGGUGGAGACUUGAUAAGGUUAUUGAACCGUCACUUCAACUAGUGUGUAGCAGGGCACAGGAAGUUGUUCCUGUGGCACCUAUACCAAUUGAAGUGGAAGCUUAUGAUAGUAAUCAUGAAACUUCGGAUCAAGUCACCAGCAAACCUCGUAGGACGACGAGGAUGCGUGCUACUUCAGAAUGGUACGUGAUCCUGUCUUGGAAGUCAUGUUGUUGGACAACGAUGAACCUAUGAGCUAUGGAGAAGCGAUGGUGGGCCCAUGUUCCGACAAAUGGUUAGAAGCCAUGAAAUCCGAGAUAAAUGGAUCUUUGAGAAGAAGACGGACGUGGACGGUAAUGUUACCGUCUAUGAAGCUCGACUUGUGGCGAAGAGUAUUUCCACAAGUUCAAGGAGUUGACUACGAUGAGAUUUUCUCAUCCGUAGCGAUGCUUAAGUCCGUCGGAAUCAUGUUAGCAUUAGCUGCAUUUAUGAAAUCUGGCAGAUGGAUGUCAAAACAAGUUUCCUUACCAGUUUUCGUAAGGAAAGGUUGUAUGUGAUACAAUCAGAAACGUUUUGUCAAUCCUAAGGAUGCUAAAAGGUAUGCUAGCUCCAGCGAUCCUUCCAUGGACUAGAGCAAGCAUCUCGGAGUCAGAAUAUACGCUUUGAUGGAGUGAUCAAAGUUUUUGGGUUUAUACAAAGUUUGUUAGAAACUUGUAUUUACAAUAAAGUGAGUGGGAGCGCUACAACAUUUCUGAUAAGUAUAUGUGAAUGACAUAUUGUUGAUCCGAAAUGAUGUAAAAAUUUCUGGAAAGCAUAAAGGGUUGUUUGAAAGGAGUUUUUCAAAGGAAGACCUGGAAAAAGCUACUUACAUAUUGGGCAUCAGGAUCUAUAGAGAAAGAUCAAGACGCCCGAUGAUACUUUCAAAGAACACACACCUUGACAUGAUUUUGAAAGAGUUCAAAAUAGAUCAGCAAAGAAGGAGUUCUUGGCUGUGUUACAAGGGGUGAGUAUUGAGUAAGACUCGAGACCUGACCACAGCAGAAGAGAGAGAAAGGACGAAGGUCGUCCCCUAUGCUUUAGACGUAGGCUCCACAGUAUGCUACGCUGUGUACCGCACAUGAAGUGUGCCUUGCCAUGAGUUGGUCAAGGGGUACAAUAGUGAUCCGGGAAAGGAUCACAUGACAGCGGUCGGACUUGUCCUUAGUAUCUAGUGGACUAAGGAAUUUUCUCGAUUAUGGAGGUGAAAAGGAGUUCGUCGUAAAGGGUUACGUCGAUGCGAACUUUGACACUAAUCUGGAUGACUCCGAGUAGUAAACCGGAUUCGUAUAGUAGAGCAAUUAUUUGAAAUGGCUCCAAAUAGCGCGUGGUAGCAUCCACAAGAUGACAUAGAUAUUCGUAAAGCACACACGAAUCUGAAAGGUUCAGACCCGUUGACUAAUAACCUCUCUCACAAGCAUAACAUGAUCAAACUAGAACUCAUUGAGUGUUAAUCACAUAGAGAUGUGAACUAGAUUGUUGACUCUAGUAAACUCUUGGGUGUUGGUCACAUGGUGAUGUGACCUAUCAGUGUUAAUCACAUGGUGAUGUGAACUAGAUUAUUGACUCUAGUGCAAGUGGGAGACUGUUGGAAAUAUGCCCUAGAGGCAAUAAUAAAUAGGUUAUUAUUAUAUUUCCUUGUUCAUGAUAAUCGUUUAUUAUCCAUGCUAGAAUUGUAUUGAUAGGAAACUCAGAUACAUGUGUGGAUACAUAGACAACACCAUGUCCCUAGUAAGCCUCUAGUUGACUAGCUCGUUGAUCAAUUGAUGGUUACGGUUUCCUGACCAUGGACAUUGGAUGUCGUUGAUAACGGGAUCACAUCAUUAGGAGAAUGAUGUGAUGGACAAGACCCAAUCCUAAGCCUAGCACAAGAUCGUGUAGUUCGUUUGCUCAGAGCUUUUCUAAUGUCAAGUAUCAUUUCCUUAGACCAUGAGAUUGUGCAACUCCCGGAUACCGUAGGAAUGCUUUGGGUGUGCCAAACGUCACAACGUAACUGGGUGGCUAUAAAGGUGCACUACGGGUAUCUCCGAAAGUGUCUGUUGGGUUGGCACGAAUCGAGACUGGGAUUUGUCACUCCGUGUAAACGGAGAGGUAUCUCUGGGCCCACUCGGUAGGACAUCAUCAUAAUGUGCACAAUGUGACCAAGGAGUUGAUCACGGGAUGAUGUGAGUUACGGAACGAGUAAAGAGACUUGCCGGUAACGAGAUUGAACAAGGUAUAGGGAUACCGACGAUCGAAUCUCGGGCAAGUAACAUACCGUUAGACAAAGGGAAUUGCAUACGGGAUUGAUUGAAUCCCCGACAUCGUGGUUCAUCCGAUGAGAUCAUCGUGGAACAUGUGGGAGCCAACAUGGGUAUCCAGAUCCCGCUGUUGGUUAUUGACCGGAGAACGUCUCGGUCAUGUCUGCAUGGUUCCCGAACCCGUAGGGUCUACACGCUUAAGGUUCGAUGACGCUAGGGUUAUAGGGAAAGCAUGUACAUGGUUACCGAAUGUUGUUUGGAGUCCCGGAUGAGAUCCCGGACGUCACGAGGAGUUCUGGAAUGGUCCGGAGGUAAAGAUUUAUAUAUGGGAAGUCCUGUUUUGGUCACCGGAAAAGUUUCGGGUGAAAUCGGUAAUGUACCGGGACCACCGGGAGGGUCCCGGGGGUCCACCAAGUGGGGCCACCAGCCCCAGAAGGCUGCGUGGGCCAAGUGUGGGAGGGGACCAGCCCCAGGUGGGCUGGUGCGCCCCCCCACCAAGGCCCAAGGCGCAUGGGAGAGUGGGAGGGGGCAAACCCUAGGUCCAGAUGGGCCUUAGGGCCCAUCUAGUGGGGCGCCCCCCCUCUCCUCCCCUUGGCCGCCCCCCUUGAUGGGAUCUAGGGCUGGCCGCCUCCUCUUGGGGGUGGAAACCCUAAAGGGGGCGCAGCCCCCUCCCCCCUAUAUAUAGUUGAGGUUUGGGCUGCCCAAGACACACGAGAACGUCUCUCUUUCGGUGCAGCCCUACCCCUCUCCCUCCUCCUCCUCUCCCGCGGUGCUUGGCGAAGCCCUGCGGGAUUGCCAUGCUCCUCCACCACCACCACGCCGUCGUGCUGCUGCUGGAUGGAGUCUUCCCCAACCUCUCCCUCUCUCCUUGCUGGAUGAAGGCGUGGGAGACAUCACCGGGCUGCACGUGUGUUGAACGCGGAGGCACCGUUCUUCGGUGCUUAGAUCGGAAUCAACCGCGAUCUGAAUCGCUACGAGUACGACUCUCUCAUCCGCGUUCUUGCAACGCUUCCGCAUCGCGAUCUACAAUGGUAUGUAGAUGCACUCUCCUUCCCCUCGUUGCUAGAUUACUCCAUAGAUUGAUCUUGGUGAUGCGUAGAAAAUUUUGAAUUUCUGCUACAUAACCCAACACAGGACCCCAAUCAAUCAAGCCGGUUGGGGGUGGAUGAACAGGACCCCGUGGAGGGCUGGAUGAACAGGACGACCCCGUGGAGAGCUGGUUGAACAGUAGCCGGUGGAGGGCUGGAUGAGUAGUAGCCCGUGGAGGGGUGGUUGAACAGGACCCCGUGGAGAGGGAUGGUUGAAUAGUAGCCGGUGGAGGAGCGGUGGAGGCUGUAUGAACAGGAGCCCGUGGAUGAACAGUCGCAGGUGGAGGCUGGAGGAGGGCGACGGUGGAUGAACAGUAGCCCGUGGAGGCUGGAGGAGGUCGAUGGUGGAGAUGAACAGUAGCCCAUGGAGUCCCGUUUUGCGGUACGCCACACCCCUCCCGAUGAACAUGACCCCCGUUUCGACCGUAGCGCUCGAACACAAGUCCGUUUCCUCCGUUUUGCGGUACGCCACAUCCCUUCCGAUCAACAGGACCCUGUUUUGACCAUAGGAGGUCCAAGAGAAGUUCGUUUCCUCCGUUUUGCGGUACGCUAGACCCCUCCCAAUGAAUAGGAUCCCGUUUCGACCAUGGCCGGUCGAACAGAAGGCCGUUUCCUCCGUUCUGCGGUAUGCUAGGCCUCGUUUCGAUCGGCUGUUUCAUCCAAGCCAGUUGGCACCCGAUGAACACGACGACGUAGUUUCUCAAUUCCGACCCAGCCGGUUGGCUGCCGAUGAACACGACGCCGUCGCUGCCUCUCCAUGUACACGAGCCCUGGCCGUACGUAUGCACGAGUAGGCGUUCGAUACCCCGCCCGUAUGUAUGUACGUGGCCGUAUUUACUUUCUUGCACACUGGUUGUACGUACGUGUAUACGAUAUUAACGGGACUGCGUGACAUGCUACGUGCGCGCCUCUACUACGACAUGUGCGCGCCUAUAGUACGACACGUGCCCUUCCUUGCUCGGCCACGGUUCAUUGUUGUAGCCUGCAGACAGACCGAUCAUAUGUACGUACACGUUCACAGCCAGAAUGACAACGCUACGUACGCUUUGACCAGGUGGGUCCCGACAGUCCGGGAGGAUAAGGAGGCACUUCCUUGCGUGCGAAGAUGUAGCUGGUGGGUCCCAGGAGUCAGGGGAAACAUUUUUUUUGCUAAAUACGGUGGCCCGUCCGGUGGGUCCUUGCUGUCAGGUGGAGGAAUCAUUAUUUUCCGCGUAAUAAGGAGGCACUUCCUUGCCGCGGCCAUGGACCCAGCCGUCAGCCUCUCCACGUACAUUACUCUUCUGAUGGAAGUCGUUCCUUGACCACGUUGACCACGCCGCGCCGAGAGCACCAGGGCGGUGGACGACGGCGAGGCCUAGGAAGGGGACGACGCGGAGCCGGAGAAGACGCGGCAGUGGAUGCCCACGCGGAGAGGAGUACGAGGGUUCACUGGUUCAGCUGCGAUGAGAGGCUGUCGUCGCCGCAAAAUAACAGGGGGUGUGGGUGAGUAGAGAGAUGGCCUGGCCAGCGGUGGGAGUAGUACGGGGCGGUGAGGCCUCCGCGGCAGCAUAGCCGGCCACGGGAGGCAGGAGCACGCGGCACGACCAGCGCUGGUUUGUGCGGCUGGAGCAAGAAGACCAGAGGUUGAAGAAGCACUACGGCCGUUGGAUGGACAUCGUAUAGUCACUAGAGCUAGAAUCGUUCAUACUGACUAAGUUGACAAAGCCCUCCAUCCCCGUCAACUUAGUAGGCCCACAAGUCAGCCUCCCACUAUGGUGGGUUCUAGCUAGCAGGGGGAGUAUUCAUUUUUUUGUGCAUAAUAAGGAGGCACUUCCUUGCGUGCGAAGAUAUAGCUGGUGGGUCCGAGCUGUCAGCGGGGGGAACUUUUUUUCAUGAAAUACAGAGGCCCUUCCGGUGGGUCCCAGCUGUCAGGUGGAGGAAUCAUUAUUUUGCGUGUAAUAAGGAGGCAUUUCCUUGUGUGCGGCCAUGGACCCAGCUGUCAGCCUCUCCACGUACAGUCCACUUCCGAUGGAUGUCGUUCGUUAACCACGUUGACCAUGCCGCGCUGAGAGCACCAGGGCGGUGGACGACGGCAAGGCCUAUAAAGGGAACGACACGGAGCCAGGGAAGACUCGGCAAUGGUUGCCCACACAGUGGGGAGUACGAGGGUUUACUGGUUCGGCUGCCGUCGCCGGAAAAUAACAGGAGGUGUGGGUGAGUAGAGGAAUGGUCUGGCCAGCGAUGGAGUAGGGUGGGGCGGUGCGGCCUAUGCCGCAGCACAGCCGGCCACGGGAGGCGGGAGCAGGCAGUCCCACUAGCGCUGGUUUGGGCGGCUGGAGCAAGAAGAUCAGAUAUUGAACAAGCAGCACGGCCGUUGGAUUAACAUCCAACGAUCAUUGCUGCUAGAAUCGUUUGUGGACUAAGUUGACAAAGCCUUUCGUACACGUCAACCUAGUAGACCCACAAGUCAGCCUCCAAAUCUGUCCCAAACAGUAUACAGACCGAAAUUUGUAGCCAGAUUCAAAUUAAUUUAAAAACUAAACAUACCUUAAUUUAAAUCCAAUGAAAUUUUACCCGCACAAAAACAAUAAAAUUUAAAAUAUCAAAAUCCGAAAGAAAAAAGUAUUUUGGAACUUUUUUUGAGACAAAAAAGUAUUUUGGAACUAAUUGCCUGUUUGAUGUAUUUUUUCAUUUUACAGCCCAUUUCUUAUUACUUAUAGCCCAUUUUCUGGGCAAGCCCGAAUGCAUCCCUCCUCGUCUUGAAAGAUUUCUGGCCCAGCAGGGCGUAGAAAAGCAAGUAGGCCUACGUUGGUUAUUCCGCAAAAAACAUAACAGCUGGGCUAGCCAUUUUCAGAAAGGAAAAAACAAACUGGGCUGGUCAUGUGGUAAACAUAUGAAAUAAAAGCCUGGGCUAGACGGGCCACGGCUCCCGCGCAACCCAGUUGAUACCCUUCUCCAUCGCCAAAAACAAAAUUACUGCGCGCGCUGUUGGGUCCCUACUGUCAUCCUCACCAUGUACAGUCAUCUCCUUAUUCCUCUCGGUUGUUGACCAUGUUGACAACACCGGAGGGCGGCGCCGCGGCGAGCGAACCAAGACGAAGGAUGAUGGUGAGGCCUCGGACAGGAACGAACAAGAGCUGGGGAAGAUGCGCAGAGUUUUAGGGUGCAUUGUGGCCACAAUGCGUGCGCGGCAGCACAGCCAACCGUGGGAGGCGGCAGCAGGCAGUCUCGCCGGCGCUGGUUUGGCUUUGGCGGCUGAAGGAAGAAGUGACUGAAGAAACACGACAGACGUUGAAUGUCAAUCGAACGGUCAAGGUUGGCACAAUCGUUUGUUGACUAAGCCAACACCAAGUAGCAUAUUUUUUAUAUAUAGGAAGAAAAGAAAAACUGGGCUCGUUCGCCUGAUAACAUUCCCAAAACUGCUACCGUUCGAUCUUGCAUCGCAACUAAAACUGCGAGGAAAAUGCGUUUGUCCGCCGUCCUCCUGCCAGGGAACGUUCGCCACAUAAGUGACUAGCACCCUUGGUUUUCAACCGAGAGGUCUUGGGUUCGAGUCCCAGGAACUCUCAAUUUUGUCCUCCUUCCUUCCUCGCAAAAAAGAAAGAAAAUCAAAGACUUGAGAAGGCGUACAGAACAAGCUAGUGUACUAGUAAAGAUACGUUGCCGAGUUUUAGAAAAAAGAGAGACGUGCUCCUGUAGCUGGUUCGAAUCCAAGCCUAGACUAUGACUAUAUGGUGCUAUGCUACUCUGCAAGUAAUGAAACUGACAUAUCCAACGUUUGUUUCUCCUCUUCUCUACUUACUCUACCUAGCAUCAGAAGUUCUGGCCGCAGCAACCAUGUCCGCUGGCUGCUCGUCCACCUGCUCUUCAGUAGACAACAACCAGAUAUGCGCCAAGUUGCCACCCGUACCAUCCCUGUGAGUCUCAUCACACCCCCGCCGGCACACGCACCACAGCCGGUUGCUCAUCGCAACCCGCUGCCGUUGGUAUGGUGCCACUGCUGCAAAUCACGCAGAGUCAUCCAUCGCGUCUCAACCACAAUCCUCAACCCUGGUCGAGUCUUCUAUAAAUGCCCAAAUCAUGGGGUAAUAAUAUGUUUAAGUGUUGUUCUGCUGCUUCCAGUUGCUGAUUUUUUUAAUAGUUUGGUUGAUGAUCUUCCAAUUUGAUUUGUGCAAAAAAGGGAAGGUUCGUGUGAAUUGUAUUUCUGGGAAGUUGCUGAUGUGGGGGAAUGCAACUAUGCUGAUUAUUUGGUUAGACGAGGAAUCCCAAUACCAGCAGGUUGGGGUGUUGGACAAGUAACUGAAGGAACGACAAAAGAGGAAGAUGCAGAGUAGAAGGUUAAAGAUGUAGUUCCUCUGAUCAUGGCCAAGCAACAACUGCUGAACGGCCUUGACAGCAAUGAGGAGAUGAAAGAGCUUGUGAAGAUAAUGGAAAAAAUCGAUGUGCUCUGUAGGAUGAUUAUCUCUUUAUUUGCAGUGUAUGUAGCACUUGUGAUGUAUUCAGGGGCUAUGACAUGAGCACUUUGCUGAAACUAGUAAUGAAUGAAACCUGUUUAGCAGGCUGCGCGUAGUGUUGUGAACAUCUAAUGAUUUCUAUUAACGGAAAUCGGGGGGUAUCCCCUUUUGCUCAUAAAUAAAUAAAUAGCAGAGACCCUUUUGCUAAUAAAUAAAUAAAUAAAUUAGCAGAGGCCCUGUCGGGUUAGCUUUGUUCCCAUUCGAAGACGUCGAGCAAAUUGCAGUCCAACAGCAAACUAUGUCAUCAAAUUCAAGUUUCAUAGCCAAAUAUGAGUACAACUAAACAACAAUGUCAUCAUGUUUUAGUCUUCAUACAAUCACCAAACACAAAUCAACAUACAUAACAAGUGAUGUUCUCACAGCAAAAUACUAAACAACACGUUCAUCAGGUUUCAGUUGUCAUAGCAACACAAUUUCACAUAGUAGAUAAAAAACGUCUUCUGAUAGGCAAAUACGACAAAAGCGAUCUAAUCAUCAUCUGCAGCAGUAGCGUCAACAUCUUCGCCAUGUGUAUCAGUCUGAAUCGUAAUUCCCCACAGUGUCAUCAUCUUCUUUAUCCUCAAUGUCCUCGAACGCUGGCUUCUUCUUAUCAACUCUUGUAUGUCCACAGCACGACAUCAAUCUUUUCGCCAGCGUCAUUGGCGUGAUGGUUCUCAAAGAUAUUAGGAACAUCUGUGGAAUCUUGUACAUCAGGAGCAGUGUAAGCAUCAUCUUGUUGUGCAACUUCAUUAAACGAAUUCCUCUGCUCAAACCUUUGCAAUACUUUCCAGUCAUCGCUACGUGCAAAUGUGUCUUCCAAGAAAAAUAUCCGUGUUGCUUGAUUUGCCAAAAUAAAAGGCUCGUUGGUCUGGUACGCCGCCUUGACAAUGAUGGAUUUGAAAUAAUCAUCAGCUCUGGGUUUUGCGAUCCUGGAAAACAGGUUAUACCAACAACAGCACAACAGAACCACACACCGAUGAACCUCGAAACUGGAGAUAUACUGCAACUGAACAAUGUCUGUUAUGUUAGCAUACAUUUCAGUUGUCUCUCUACCGUACGUAUCCGUGCUCAUGACGACACUGUUUUAUGUCUUCCUACCUUCGUCGCAUGCAAGGGUGUUGUAGCGCACAUCUCCAACAACGCAAGAUUCAUAAUGUCUUACCCGAGUAUCAGGACCCAUUGUUAGUGCAUAAAGGGCAUCUCAACUGCCUGCCCAUCCUCCUGCAUCUUCUUAACCUAUGGUUAUAAAAUAGACAAGCUGAUCAUCUUAUGUACUCAAUAUAUUAAAAAACUGACAGUGCAAUUCAAAAGCUUACAUGGCUCUUGAACCAUUUCGCAAAUCCUGCCAUAACCAGUUUGUCAAUGUUUCUUGGAUUUUGCGGCAGUAACUCCUUUUUGUAGAUGCUGCACAACAUAGUGAUCGCGUCAAACAUCUAAAUAUAUAAGAAUGUGCUGCAAGUUUAGUAGAUUACGAUGUAUAAGCUGCAGUACUUAGCACUUACUUGAUAUAAGCUAGUAUCUCAGGACAGUUAUUCAACACAAACCAAACCAUUUUGUCCAAAUCUUUAGGUUUGUCCUCUUAUCGACUCUUCCCUGUAACUCGAACAGAAUAAUUGAAAACAUUGAGCCCGGGAUUGUCUUCACCCACCUUUUUUCUAAGAUGAUCAGCUGUUUCAAUGUAUUUUGAGCAGAAUGUCAACGCUUUUGUAGCAAUGUAGGCCUCUGCAAUGGAACCCUCGGGUCUAGCUAUGUUCCUAGCAUAGCCCUUGAAAGUGCCUAGCCGCCUUUCAAUAGGGUACAUCCAUCCAUACUGUACUGGACCUCUAAGUAGUGCCUCAUCACGUAGAUGAAUAGCCAAAUGCACCAUCACAUCAAAGAAAGCUGGAGGAUAUAUCUUCUCAAGGUCGCAUAGGAUAGUUGGUAUCUUGUCUCUAAGACGCUCCAACGCAUCUAUCCUGAUAUUUCUACUACAGAGUUCCCUGAAGAAUUGUUCCAACUCUACAACUGCUCUUAUAAGUCAGGGCGGCCCAAUCCUCUAAGGAUAACAGGUAAAACCCUUUGAAGUAGGAUGUGUCAGUCAUGAGUUUUCAACCAUUGUACCUUGUUUCCAUCUGCACUGACUCUCCUUUCAAGGUUGGAAGCAAAUCCAUGUGGGAAUCUCACACGUGACAGGACCUCACAGAAUUCUUUUCUUUUUACCUUGUCCAAGACGUACACAGCUGGUGCCAUAUCCCGUGGUUUACCUUCAUCUUGCACCUGCAAAUCCUGUCUGAUACCCACGUGUGUCAAAUCAAUCCUAGAUUUUAAGGUAUCUUUCGUCUUGCCUUCAAUAUUAAGAAGUGUGCCGAUAAUGCUGUCACAUAUAUUUUUCUCGAUGUGCAUCACAUCAAGAUUAUGCUGCAGAUCCAAAUCUUUCCAAUAAUCCAAGUCCCACAAAGUGGACCUGCGGGUAAACAAUAAUCUCUCUUCUGCCCUGCCAUGCUUCCUUUUCCUGCUACCAUUACCAGGAUAUUUUUCUGGUGUAAUAUGCCCAACCUUCUCUAAUUCCACUUGCAACUCAUCAGCGGUGAGCCUCUUUGGCGCAUCACGGUUUUCAUGCUUUGCAUUGAACACCUGUCUUCGGUAUUUUGUAGGACGCGACUUGUCCUUGGCAAGGAAACGACGGUGUCCAAUGUAACAUAUCUUGCUAAGUAUUGCGUAUGACAGCGGAUUCCUGUCACAGCGAACACAUGCAUUGUAACCAUGUGCCGUUCGCCCUGACAUAGUGCCCAAAGCCGGAUAAUCAUGGAUGCACCAAAUUAUAACAGCACGCAGAAAGAAAUCAGCUGGUGGGCUGCUAUAUAGGUCUCGUGUGAGAACACCCCUCCAUAGCUGUUGAAGUUCCUCCACAAGAGGCUCCAUGAAUAAAUCAAAAUCCUUUCCAGGACUUUUUGGACCUGGGAUGAGCAAGGCCAUCAUGUAGUUUGAUUCUUUGGUGCGGACAUUUGGAGGCAUGUUGUAAGGGAUAACAAGCACUGGCUACAUGCUAUAUGUGGUGCUCUGGUGGCCAAAUGGGUUAAAUCCAUCUGAAGCUAAGCCAAGUCUAAUGUUUCUCGGGUCAGCAGCAAACUUUUUCUGUUUCUGAUUGAAGCUUUUCCAGUCACUACCAUGAGAUGGAUGGCUCAUUACAUUCUGAUCUCUGUACUCCUCGUUCCUAGAAUGCCACAGUACAUCCUCUCUUGUUUUAGCAUCAUGAACAACCUCUGCAAUCUUGGUAUAAUUGGAAAAUGUCUCAGAACAUUAUGAGGAAUCCUCUUCACAGCAUCGCCAUCUUUUCAUCUUGAUGAUUUGCAUUUCGGGCAUUCACUUAAGUUGGCAUAAUCCUUCCGGAAUAGAACACGGUUAUUCUUAAAAACAUGGUUCAUAUCAUAUCCAAUUCCAACUGCACGAAGGAAAUUCUUCAUUUUACUGUAGGUGUGUGGCAGCUCAGACGCAUCUGGGAAAGAUUUGCGAAAAGCAUCCAACAUCGCAUCGAAUGAUUUGUUUGUCAUCCGCUCAGAUGUCUUCACCUGAAGAAAGGUGACCAUAGCUGAGAAUACUGAUAGCUUAUUUCCUGGGGUGACAGCCAUGUUGCAUUGUUCCAACAUGCGGGCCCACCAUUUUUCUUCUGCAGGUGAAAGUUCACGAAAUGCACGAGCAUUUCAUAGCAUUGUUUCAAUGUUGGUCAAACUCACUGGCUCCGCCACUACCACCUCCUCCUCCUCUUCCACCUGAGCAUCAGGCAGAUCAAGAUGGUGAUCUGCUGCUUCCACAUAGUCAGUAACAUUGACGUUCACAGCUUCACCAUGAUGAACCCACCUAGUAUAUGUGACCGACAUCCCAUACAAGUGUAGAUGAUUUUGCACAGUUGACUGGGGUCUUGUAACUGAAUUCAUACAACUGCUACAUGGGCAGAUCACAUCUGAUUUAGGACCACCGUACUCAGCUCUGAUAAAGUUCAUGAAGUUUUCAACCCCCUCGACAUAUGCAGCGAAGAAUCUUCGAGCAGAAGUUAUCCAAGUCAUGUCCAUCUAUUAGACAUACAAAUUAGUUCUUCUACUAGAUAUUACAGGAAAACACAUAUGCUUUUUUAUGAAGUCCAGAAAAAAUAUCUAGGUCAAUGUCUAAAGCUAUGGCAAGAUAUUUGGACAAGCAUAUCUAAGUAACGAAAUAUAUGUAAAGCUAAUUCAACAAACAGAUUUGAGUGCUAAAUUAUGGCAGGCUGUUUCAGCAGUCAAUGAGGCCGAGCACACAGCCAUCGAACUAUCGAAGGCCAUCUGAGCAACAAAGAUCGAGUAUAAAACGGUGUAGAGCUAUUUCACCUAACAGAUUGGCUGCUAGACCAUGGCAAUCUACGUCACAAUAAAUAUACGGCAUGAUAUUUUAGCAACUAAUCGGGCUUGGCAUGCCAUCUCAGCUAAGCAGAUUGAGUGCAGAAUAGGGCAAGGAAGCUUCUUAAGCAGAGCAUAUUGACUGUAAACUACUUCGGCAAACAAUGAGAUUAACAGCGUCUAUCAGCUAACAUUCAGCGCUACACCGACAUGCACGGGGCCUCAGUCUAGAAUGCGCGUACCGCGGGAGAAGCUGACCGUCGUGCGUCUCCACACGAACGUCGCCAGCGGUGGCGGCGUUGACCGCCGUGUGUCUCCAUAAGAACGUCGCCAGCGGUGGCGGCGCGGCUAGAGGACGGCAGUCUACGAGAGCGUACUAUGGGAGCGAGAGGAUCGCCGUGCGUCCCCUCGACGUAUCGCGGCGCCGAUGUAUCAGCGCGGCGGGGAGGCGGCUUUGGCGGAGUGAAUGGAGUGGAGGGGGACGGGGGGAGGGGGUUUGGGGAAUAUUAUUGGCUAGUUGGCCGAAGGGCUGUUGAAUUUGGGAUUUGGGGGGAUUUUCACGCGGUGGGCGGGGGGAGUUUGGCGCAUGGUCGGUUUCUCCAAGUGAAGUCCCACAUGUCAGUGAAGAGGCAAGCCGAAGUGCGUUCUGUUUGCGUGAUCCGUGUGCAGGACCGAACGUGUGUGGGGUGCAAUGUAGACCGCGACAGGGGUGCUGUGAGUGUACCGCCGUUUUUCCUUUUAAACUUGGUGCUUCGCCCCCUAAAAAAACUUGGUGCUUCGCGUGAUCCAUUGAUACUACUACUAGUAAUUCGGUAAUCCUGACUAAAACGGUGCGGCCGGGUCUUUUCCCGUGCGAUAUGCUGGGUGGUUGGCUUAGUUGGGUUUUUUAGGACGAGUAAUGCUACACCUACGUAAUCCCAGUUACGUAAUUAACGUAAUGUGAAACGUGUGAGCUGUUGAUUGUAGAUUCGGGGAGGGAGGGGCCCACCACCAUGAAAACCAGGGAGGAGAAAGAGAGGCAAUUUACGUUAACCCUUUCGUAGGUUCCCGUAGAUGUAGAAAGAUGUGAAAUGCAUGAAUGUCUAGUGGACGUACUAUUGGAGUGCAUAAGAUAAAUUGUGUAUGUAGACCCUAUGUGUUUAUUUACUUCGCAUGUUAGCUUUGUCUCGGGCCAAACCUUCUAAGUUUAUACACACAAAAACAAACCAUCAUUCCAUAUACUCCUACAAUAUAUCUUACUAUUAUUGUGAAAGUUCAUAUACACCGGACGAGAUUAAUAUAAACACGACAGAUUUUCAUUACAUUUCAAACUUUUAUAUGACAGAAAAAUAAAAGAAACCCGACCCUAAACCUAUUCUAUGGCGGCGACCGAUGUCCUCCAUCUGCAAUCUCCAUGUACGGGGGCGGGGUUCAAGAUCCGUGAAGUGAAGGUGCGGUCUCCGGCGAGGAAUAGUAGAACAUGGGAGACAGACCGGCCAGUUGGCACAACAUGCCCUGCCGCCUUCCAUGCCCUACUCAUCCUCGGAGGAGUCCCCAACCUCUGCAGUGCCGGACGUUGGAUGGCGGCAAGUAGGACGCGUGGCUGACGGUGCUCCCGCCGUCGGCUGCCAGCGUGGCCACCGCUUGUGCGGUCGCGUCCGCGUCCGGCUAUGCCACUAUUGCGUCGUGAGCGGCAACUUGAGCGAGGGCGGCGACCUCGAGCUUCAUCCCCGAAGACAAGCUCUCCCGCAGAGCGUUCACGCUCGCGGUCAUGGCGGAUGUGGUGCCAGGUAGCAGGACGAUGCGCUAUGGUGUGCAGUUUAGCUGCAUUGCCGCUUUAAGUAGCGCAUUCCGGUGAGGCCAAGCGUCUGGGUGCGUCAUUAAGUCGCCGGAAUUGGUUCCUCGGGCACUGAGCCUCUUAAUGACGGCAUACAGACGGACGACAUGAAUGCGGGCAGCUGGCACCGGCUGGGAAAGCACCGCGCGAUGGCACGAGGGACGAGGGUUUUUGGUGUGCCAGGGUAGUCAGCUGCGGUCGUGGCAACGUUGGAGAUGCCCUUUGCUCACAUGCGAUCCCCACAUGUCAUUGAAAAAGCAAGACGACCCGGCAUGGUCUCAGGUCUUGGGGAUGCAGUUGGCCGCGCUACACCACUCCGCGGACACGUCGUGGCGUGCGCGCACUUCGGCGCCCCAUGUAUCCUCGACGAGCUGGGUGUUGAUCUGCUGGUCGUGCCAUAGAGCUAACGCCACCCUCGGCACACUGAAGCCGACCGUGUCCAGCAAUGAUGAGCAUGUCUCUCACUGCGGUCGCCGUGUACAGAGGCGGUGCGGGAGCUGCGCCACGUUGCUGGCCCCCAUGACCCACAUGAACGGUUGCCAGUGGCGAGGAGGUCGUCGGCCAGCUCCUCCAUUGGACUAGUCUGCGCCACGUCGUCCCGACAGGUGUGCCCCACAUGUCGGUUUCCCUGUUUUCCUAGCCAAAUUCGAGCGUCAGUGCUCCGUGUUGCGCAUUAGGCGCAGAGCAGGUGGUUUUUGUGCCCAAUGUGGUACAGUACCUAGUUGUUACCCUAGCCCCAAGUGUGGUGGUUUUGGGUACGGUGCCACCCUUUUCCUUUUCAACUAGUGAAGCGUAACACUUGAUUAAGUAGCCGAAUGGUGUGCUAAAUGUAGGUGUCCGACUGUUUGAAGGAAUAAUUGAGGUGUGCCUGGUCCGUGCCCGCAUUUAGGGGUCCAACUUACCAUGUUCCGGCAGUAGCAACUAUACUAGUCCCUGCAUACUCCCUCUGUUUUUAUUUACUUCGCAUUUUAGCUUUGCUCAAAGUCAAACUUCGUAAACAUUGACAAAGUUUAUAGACAGAAAUAAUAACAUAUACAAUAACAAAUCAAUACCAUUAGAUUCAUUAUUGAAUAUACUUUCACAUCAUAUAGAUUUGCUAUUGUAAAUGUUCAUAUUUUUCCUAUAAAUUUGGUCAAAUUUUAUGAAGUUUGACUUUAGUCAAACCUAAUAUGCGGAGUAAAUAAAAACGAAGGGAGUAUCUUACUCCGUGACCAAGACGGAAGGGAAAACGAGACAACUUAUUGUUUAUUUGAGCCGUUCAAGUAUAAUCAUGUGGCGUUGCUUAUUUCUCAUUCCUCUCCAACCCUCUUCUCCAUCGAUCAUGCUGGCCUCCGGUCGAGUCCAUCCUCUCGCAUGCCUCAUUUGAACAUUCCGCCGAGUAUCAUUCGCAUGUGGGCCUAGACCAUGCUUGUAUUUCCAAUGUUGUAAUUUGUCCGACAUGCAUAAAAACAAACGGUUCGUUUAAAGUUUCACUUUGCCUCCACUACGUGUCGCUUCCUGUCUUAGUUUUGACAUCCCAUUCGGUUCAUGCCUCGACACAUCUUGAUGAGAUCGAUUGAUGUUGAGAGAUCAAUUGCGUGUCAUGCAAGGAGAUAAAGGUUUGGUUUGUUUCUAUGAUAGAAAUGACNNNNNNNNNNNNNNNNNNNNNNNNNNNNNNNNNNNNNNNNNNNNNNNNNNNNNNNNNNNNNNNNNNNNNNNNNNNNNNNNNNNNNNNNNNNNNNNNNNNNNNNNNNNNNNNNNNNNNNNNNNNNNNNNNNNNAUUGUACGUUCAUAAGCGAAACGAACGUAUUGUACCCACCCUAGUCCUCUUUCAAUCGAUCUCCGGACCCCGAGAUGAAAUCAAGAGAGAACGAGUGGGUGCAUGUGUGAUACCUAAGGCGGAUUCAAAAUUUUGAACCGGUGAUCAUAGCAUCCGCAAAUCAUAUAUAAAGGGUAUUCAAUGUUCGUUUCGCUUUUGAACGUACAAUAUACUCCCUCCGAUCCUUUCUAGUUUACAUAUAAGUUUUAUGUGUAGUCAAAGUAUCUCUACUUGGAUCAAACUUACAGAAAAAAGUAUCAACAUUCAACAACGCCCAAUCAGUAUUGUUAGAUUCGUACGUACUCCUAAAUUUGCAUUCAAACAGAGAUGGUUUCCAUUUUUUUUCAACCACGUGAAUGUGCUUGUUCUCGCGCAUGCUCUUCCUACUAGGAUUUUGCCAUGUAUAGCCAGUCCAAAAGUAACUCUUUUAAGCUCCCUGUCCAAUAGUACUAGUGGAGUACUGACAACAUCUGUAGUAGAGUAUACAGUGCUCAUAGUACUCCCUCCUUCCAUUUAUAUAGGGCCUAAGAGCAAGUCUAAUAAGACCUGUCAGCAGGCUAUAAGACUUGCCAUGUCAUUAAAAUCCUACUUGGAGGAGUGAGAAGAGAGGAGAGUGAGUGAAGCGGGCUCUUAUUCUACAGCCCGACUAUAACACAUAGAUCAAGAAAAAAUAGUAUGCAUGCAACUCUCUUCCAAUCAUAUACCUUGCUCAUGCAAAUAUUAAAUGCUUAGAGCCAACCUAAUAGCCAUUCUAAGAUCCAACCUAUUACUUAACCAUGCAAACAUUAAAUGCUUAUAUGAGUAUUUUUUAUGAUGGCUCUAAGUGAGGUGGCAUCUCUUUAUAGCCAACAGCCGGCUACAUUAUUAGCCAUGCUCUAAUGCAUUUUUUAAAAUCGCCUUUGACUAUUGAGAAGAUUAAUAGUACAUGAGAUGUAUAAUGUGCAAAUUAUAUCAUUGGAAGCUCCUUUCACAUAUGAAUUUGACCGUAUGCUUUGUGUAAGUUGCAUGUCAUAUAUUAUUACUCUAACAUUUGGUCAAAGUUAGCCUUGAAAAAUGCAUUAGGCCCUGUAUAGAUGGAAGGAGGGAGUAGUAGUGGAAGUGGAUCCUCUGACGUAGGUAUCCCUGCCUUACCCUCCCUUUCGGCCACUUACUGGCGGGCCCCAUGCUUGCUAGGCCCCGCAUGUCAGUUACUCAAUGGGUUCGGCCACGUCAGGGGAUCCUCAUCCGUAGUAUACACCCUCUGUUUUUAUUUACUCCGCAUAAAACGGAGGGAGUAGUAGUAUAAAUGACGCGGGUGGGGGAGGGGGAGGAACGUCGGUUUGCUCUCAACUGCGGUCCCACAAGCGAGGAAAAACGCAAGACAAAGCGCAUUCCAUUCGGUGAGCGACGUGGAGGGUCCAGCGUGCCGGGGUGCAACACGAACGCGACAAGAGCGAUGUACAGUCAAAACCGAUUGACCGGUCAUCACCGGAACCACUAUUCACACCAGAACCUUCGCUGCUCGGCCUACGCCAGCCACUGCCCCAAAACCACACCUCCUCUCCAGCCCAUUCCCCCACCUUUCGAUCCCCUAGACCGCAUCAAGCGUCCCCUAGUUCGCUGGAAAGCCAUGGUGCGCCGCAAGAUCACGUACUACAAGAUGCUGAUGC